GAUCCUGGCCAGGACGAACGCUGGCGGCGCGCCUAACACAUGCAAGUCGAACGAGCGAGAGAGAGCUUGCUUUCUCGAGCGAGUGGCGAACGGGUGAGUAACGCGUGAGGAACCUGCCUCAAAGAGGGGGACAACAGUUGGAAACGACUGCUAAUACCGCAUAAGCCCACGGGUCGGCAUCGACCAGAGGGAAAAGGAGCAAUCCGCUUUGAGAUGGCCUCGCGUCCGAUUAGCUAGUUGGUG
rnacentral:rRNA from 1 species